ACGGGACCCGCACAAGCGUGGAUGAUGUGGAUUAAUUCGAUGCAACGCGAAGAACCUUACCUACCCUUGACAUGUCCGGAACUUGCCAGAGAUGGCUUGGUGCCCGAAAGGGAAUCGGAACACAGGUGCUGCAUGGCUGUCGUCAGCUCGUGUCGUGAGAUGUUGGGUUAAGUCCCGCAACGAGCGCAACCCUUAUCAUUAGUUGCUACGCAAGGGCACUCUAAUGAGACUGCCGGUGACAAACCGGAGGAAGGUGGGGAUGACGUCAAGUCAUCAUGGCCCCUAUGUCCAGGGCUACACACGUGCUACAAUGGGCGAUACAGAGUGACGCGAAGCCGCGAGGUGGAGCAAAUCGCAGAAAAUCGCUCUCAGUUCGGAUUGGAGUCUGAAACCCGACUCCAUGAAGGUGGAAUCGCUAGUAAUCGCGAAUCAGAAUGUCGCGGUGAAUACGUUCCCGGGCCUU
rnacentral:rRNA from 1 species